CCCUUAGACGUUCUGGGCCGCACGCGCGCUACACUGACCAGUGCAACAAGCAUCCGUCCUUGGCCGACAGGCUCGGGCAAUCUUUGAACGCUGGUCGUGAUGGGGAUAGACUUUUGCAAUUUUUGGUCUUCAACGAGGAAUUCCUAGUAAACGCAAGUCAUCAACUUGCAUUGAUUACGUCCCUGCCCUUUGUACACACCGCCCGUCGCUCCUACCGAUUGGGUGAUCCGGUGAAUAAUUCGGACUGCAGCACUGCUUGGUCUCCAGGCUUUGCAGCGGAAAGUUUAGUGAACCUUAUCACUUAGAGGAAGGAGAAGUCGUAACA
rnacentral:rRNA from 1 species